GAUGAACGCCGACGGCGUGCCUAAUACAUGCAAGUCGAGCGAACGGACGAGAAGCUUGCUUUUCUGAUGUUAGCGGCGGACGGGUGAGUAACACGUGGAUAACCUACCUAUAAGACUGGGAUAACUUCGGGAAACCGGAGCUAAUACCGGAUAAUAUUUUGAACCGCAUGGUUCAAAAGUGGAAGACGGUCUUGCUGUCACUUAUAGAUGGAUCCGCACUGCAUUAGCUAGUUGGUAAGGUAACGGCUUACCAAGGCAACGAUGCAUAGCCGACCUGAGAGGGUGAUCGGCCACACUGGACCUGAGACACGGUCCAGACUCCUACGGGAGGCAGCAGUAGGGAAUCUUCCGCAAUGGGCGAAAGCCUGACGGAGCAACGCCGCGUGAGUGAUGAAGGUCUUCGGAUCGUAAAACUCUGUUAUUAGGGAAGAACAUAUGUGUAAGUAACUGUGCACAUCUUGACGGUACCUAAUCAGAAAGCCACGGCUAACUACGUG
rnacentral:rRNA from 1 species